AGACGCUUUUUAUGAAUGCCUGUAGUUACAGAACAAAAUGCAACAGUUUUCAACUGAAAGAGGGUAGUUUUAGACAGGAAAUAAGGGAAGACUUUUUUUAUUAUGAGGGUUGUGAGACCCUGGAACAGGCUGUUCAGAGAAGCUCCCUGGAGUGUUCAAGGCCAGGCUGGAUGUGGCUUUCAGCCACCUGAUCUAGUAGAAGAUGGCCCUGACUAUGGCAGGGAGGUUGGAGUAGAUAAUCUUUAAAGAUCCCUCCCAACCCAAAUAAUUCUGUGAUUCCAUGAUUCAUUUGUGUCAGGUGCAGAGUUUUAACAAUAAAACAACCAAAGUUUAAAGCUAAUAAAUCAUACAGUGCAUCUCAUUCAAGAAGACUGAAAACAGAAGAACAGUAUGAGGUAGCAACUCUUUGUUUAUAUUUUUUUACUCAGGGUUUCCUAUGGCAUCUCUGUUGAAGAAAUCAUAAACAGCCAAAUCAAAACAACUUGAAGAAAAUAAAACAACAUCGGUCAUCAUAUACCAGUCACAGUCCUGUGGUUCCUUGAGCCUGCUGGCCAGUCACUCAUCUGAGGAUUAUAUUUGGAGUUUAGUUUUUGAGAGCCGGUUCGGAUGAUCAUCAGACUAUUACUCCAUAGUACUGAAUGUUUGACACACGUACACAAAUCACUUUUGGCCUUCAAUCAGGAAACGUUAGUUCGUAUGCCAGAAAGACACCAAAAAACUGUAUGGAGCCAUAAAAAAUCAGCAGGUCUAAUUCAAGAGUCUGGCAAAUGAACAAGGUGAUCAUACUGAAGAUACAUUCUGAAAAGUUACAGCCUGUUCUAAGGGAGAUUCACCCACCAAAAAAAAGUUAUUUAGUCAUUGGUCCAUGUUCUCAGAUGUUCAUUGUAAGAUGGACCAUUUUCAGAAGUGCUUUUGUAGGGGCACUUCAACAGUUCACUGUGAAAAGCUUUUAUGUUGCCCCAAGUAAAUGCAUGAAAAAUAAAUUAUGUGUCAGCAUUGUUAACUAUAUUUCUAAGCAGACUCAUAUUCUCCACACCAUGAAGAGGAAAGCAUUUCUCACAUUUGGCAGUUGGCAGUGCUGUGGAUUUAAAAAGCAUUUUGUAGGAACCUUUUGAACGAAAUUUACUGUUCAGGACAAAGGCCAAUUCCAAGGACCUUCAGUAAGCAAAACUAUACAGAGAACCAUUUAGACAGCAGAUGUCUGCUAUUGAGAGACUAGCCUUUUCUAUUUAAGGAUUGCCAUUCACAAAGACAAAUGACCAUUAAUAGGAAUUAAUUCCCUUUUUUAUGUUUGUUUUGAACAAUUACUAGUUUAAUAUUAAAAUAUCAGUCAUUAAGGUACCUAGUCUUGUGCUAGACAGCAGUAGAUAGAGGUAGAUCAAUCAGCAGAAAGAACAGGAAAGCAAGAACCCACAACACUUUUAUGCCUAGGAGUUGAAAAUAUAACAAAGGGGAAAAAAAUGCUUUUUAGGAGGAGCAUUGCUAAGCUUGAAUAUUCUGUAACCCCAGAAUCAUAAAGGUAUAGAUGGAAUUGUAAAGCUUGUUAUUUUUUAAUUUUUAUAUAUAUAUGUAUAUAUUUUAGUUAAGUAUCAUCCCUCAACUAACUUGGAGCAAUAAAGCAUGUUAUGUAUCA